GGGGGAUUAGCUCAGUUGGCUAGAGCGCUUGAUUUGCAUUCAAGAGGUCAUCGGUUCGACUCCGAUAUUCUCCA
rnacentral:tRNA from 1 species